GUAGUCUCGCACAGAUGCAUAUCAAUAAGCGGAGGAAAAGAAACUAACAAGGAUUCCCCUAGUAACGGCGAGUGAAGCGGGAAGAGCUCAAAUUUGAAAUCUUAAAGGGUUUCCCUUUACGAAUUGUAGUUUAAAGAAGUGUUUUCUGUUGAGGUUUUGGUAAAAGUUCUUUGGAAUAGGACAUCAUAGAGGGUGAGAAUCCCGUAUUUGACCAUUUACUUUCAGCUGUGUGAUACACUUUCAAAGAGUCGGAUUGUUUGGGAAUGCAGUCCAAAAUGGGUGGUAAAUUUCAUCUAAAGCUAAAUAUUGGCGAGAGACCGAUAGCGAACAAGUACCGUGAGGGAAAGAUGAAAAGAACUUUGAAAAGAGAGUUAAACAGUACGUGAAAUUGUCAAAAGGGAAGCGUUUGACACCAGUGUUGUUUUCUCGAAAAUCAAUUAAAAAGAGUUUAGAUUUUGUUGUGUAUUGACCUUAACAGCUUGCAUUUCAAUUUUCUUGCUUUUUUUAAUGCACUUUUCGUUUAACAAGUCAACAUCAGUUUCUUUUGUUGUAAAAAGGUCAUUGGAAGGUGGCUUUCUUUUCGGAGAAAGUGUUUAUAGCCUUUGACUCCUGCAAUCGGAGAGACUGAGGUCUGCAGCGUAGAUCCUUCGGGGUUAGAUACAUUUGUGCUAAGGUUAUAGCAUUUUAUAGACAACUUGUUGACUAUGAUUUAGUCUUGUAGCUUACUCGCUUAUGCUAUUUUACCUACGCUUAGGAUGUUGAGCGCAUGUCUCUCUCU
rnacentral:rRNA from 1 species